rnacentral:rRNA from 1 species
UACGUAGGGUGCAAGCGUUAAUCGGAAUUACUGGGCGUAAAGCGUGCGCAGGCGGUCCGUUAAGACAGAUGUGAAAUCCCCGGGCUUAACCUGGGAAUGGCAUUUGGGACUGCACGGCUAGAGUGUGGCAGAGGGGGGUGGAAUUCCGCGUGUAGCAGUGAAAUGCGUAGAGAUGCGGAGGAACACCGAUGGCGAAGGCAGCCCCCUGGGUUAACACUGACACUCAUGCACGAAAGCGUGGGGAGCAAACAGG